UACGAAGGGGGCUAGCGUUGCUCGGAAUUACUGGGCGUAAAGGGCGCGUAGGCGGUUUGUAACAGUCAGAUGUGAAAUUCCCGGGCUCAACCUGGGGGCUGCAUUUGAUACGUAUGGACUUGAGUUCGGAAGAGGGUCGUGGAAUUCCCAGUGUAGAGGUGAAAUUCGUAGAUAUUGGGAAGAACACCGGUGGCGAAGGCGGCGACCUGGUCCGAUACUGACGCUGAGGCGCGAAAGCGUGGGGAGCAAACAGG
rnacentral:rRNA from 1 species